AGUAAUUCAGCCAUGAUAGAGCGCCAAAGAUGUAGCAGUGGAAAUGUCAUCUCGUGGAUUUGUUAAAUAACAACACACUCUGAAUUAAUAUACAUUCAAAAGUAGGAGGGGAUAAAGCUUCCUUCCUACCAGUUAUCCACCAUGCCUCCAAAUAAAAGUAAGAGACCUUUCAGGGAGGAGGGAGAAGAAAUGGAAAGAAAGAAUAAGCGACCAAGACAAGAACAAGAGGAAGAAGAAAUGGACAUUGGUGGAUUGAGAAGUCCUUCAUCCUCCCAUAACAAACCAGCAGAGCUGUUCCGCAAGGAUUUGAUCAGUGCUAUGAAGAUGGCAGACACAGAACAACUGGAUGCUGAGGACUACUUACUUAUUGCAGACCCGUGGAGACAGGACUGGGAGAAAGGGGUCCAGGUCCCUGUCAAUGAGGAGAUGCAAUGAAAUGGUGUUCUGUGAUGGCUGUGACAUUUGUGUACAUCAGGCAUGUUAUGGUAUUCAGAAGAUUCCAGAGGGGAGUUGGCUUUGUAGAACGUGUGCGUUAGGAAUUAAACCUACAUGUAUCCUCUGUCCCAAAACUGGGGGAGCCAUGAAAAGCACCAGGAGUGGUACAAAGUGGGCUCAUGUGAACUGUGCCUUGUGGAUUCCUGAGGUCAGCAUUGGGUGUGUGGAGAAGAUGGAGCCUAUCACCAAGAUAUCUCAGAUCCCAGCGAGCCGCUGGUCUCUGAUCUGCUGUCUGUGUAAGGAGCGGUGUGGGGCCUGCAUCCAGUGCUCUGUAAAGGCCUGUAAAACAGCCUUCCAUGUCAGCUGUGCCUUCCAAAACAACAUUGAGAUGAAAACCAUCCUCACAGAUGACUUGGCAGAUGAUGGGGGAGUGAAGUUAAAGGCAUACUGUCCAAGACACAGCAAGAAAGGAGAGAGAAGGGGCUCUGAGUCUGAUGGGGAUUCCCCAAGAAAAAGCAUUGGUGGGUCCCCCAGGAAGGAGCUUUCUGAUGAAGAAAUUGCCAAAAUGAGGGCUGAAAAAAUGCAGCAGAUGAAUGAGGAUUUCUACACCUUUGUCAAUGUGGAAGAAAUUGCGUCACGCUUAAACCUGGAUGAAAGUGCUGUAGACACCAUCUUUGUAUACUGGAAAUUAAAGAGAAAGGCUCAGUUUGACAUGCCUCUGUUGACUCCAAAGAAAGAGGAGGAAGAUUUACUGGAGAAGCAGCAAGAGGACUCGCUACUGGCCCGGAUGAAGAUGUUUGUUCAGCUCCGUCAAGAUCUAGAAAGGGUGCGGAACCUCUGCUAUAUGGUGAGCAAGAGGGAGAAGAUGAAGAAACAAUUCUACAAGGACCGUGAAGCUGUCUUCAUGGCCAUGAACAACGUUUUGACAAACAGCAGAUUUAAUCUUGGCCAGAGAGAAGUGAACAAAAUUGUAGAAAUGUACCAUUUUGAUAGCAUUUAUGACUCAAAAGUUUAUGACACUGUUAGAAUUCCUGUUGAAGAAGAUGAGGAAGAACCAAUGGAAGAGGAGGAAGAAGAGGAAGAUGAUUGUCCGAGUGUAUCUAGUCAUCUAGUUCCUGCAGAAAUUAAGCAGGAAACCCCAAUGGACGAAGAAGAAAUUAAAACAAGGGAACAAAAUAAAACAUCCCCAGGAAAGUCAAGGAAAUUCUCAUCCAAGAAGAGGAGAAUCAUGCGCAAGAAAACUGGGAGAGGAAGUGAAGGAUACAAAGAGUUGUCGGAUGAUGGGGACACAGAAUUGACGGAUGUCGAGUCCCUGUGUAGUGAACCAAGACUGACUACUGAGCCAAGGUCACUCAGAUCUCAGAAAUCUCCAGGCAGCUCGCUGUGUGGGGAUGAGGAGCCAGUAACUCAACGUAGUAGGAGACUGACGUCAGAAAGGACCAAGCCAAAGGAGUAUGUGGAGGAUGUGAAACCUCCAGUGGAAAUCAGGCAGAGGGCCAAAAGAGAGUCGUUCACAAAGGCAGAGAGGGAGCUACGAAGGGUGUCAAAACAGGACUCCAAUGAGGAAUUCAGUGUACCAGAUCUAGUGAAUAGUGCAAAGGCUAAUGUUGUGUCUGAAAAAGUGAAAGCAGAAGUGAACAAAUAUCUACAAAAUUCUAAACUUGUUAUACCUGACAAAAUAAAACACAGGCUUCAUAGAGGCCUGAUCAAGAACAGGACGCAAAUUGACAAUAUUGCGAGCGGCUAUGUUCAAACAUCCUUUGAAACUUUUCUGCAUUCAAGAUUAGGGAAGAGAUCUGCCCCCAACUCACCCAACACUAGAUCACCCACCCCCAAAUCACCUGUCUCACGAGUCCUCAAUGAAAUCUCACCAAGUCGGUCCAGGCACGGGUCCAGCAAUAGCAAUUAUCGAUCUCAAUCCAGUUCCCCCAAAAGGACGAAAAGCAUAUCUGAAGGAAUAAUUAAUUCUGUAGAAAAAAAUCUAGUGGAUGGUUUACCCAGAGAAACAAGAAGUGUACGCAGGCGUAUAGAUAAUGUCUUUGAUGUUUUUCAGUUGGAUUUCAGUAGAAAAGGCAGCGGGGAGAACUCGUCCGAUAGCUCCGUUAGAAGUGUACGACAGCUCCGAUCCAUGUCACCCGCAUCCGUCAACAGUGAGCUAAUAGACGUAGAAAACUUGUAUGAAUCUGAUAAUACUCUGAGGCGAGUUACAAGGAGUCAUGGCUUGGACUCGGCAGAAAAUUCCCGGGACUCGUUCACAAGUUCUCGCAGUGGUAUAUCAUAGAAUGGCUUGCAAUGCCUUGGUCAUUGUUUUUGUUAGGGAUAUAAAAAAAAAAAUUUGGUGUCAUUCAGUUUGGGGGGUUUUUUUUUCUUUCAUUUUCUUGAUAAAUUAUUCAGUAUUAAUUAAAAUUACUGCAAGAGUAUAGUUUUUUGAAGGAAAAAAAGGAAGACAAAAGCUGAUAUCUAUACUUAUUUAUUAAGGAAAUUUAAAAGUUUUACCCAAAAUUUUACAGCCUUUUUAUGGCAUGUUGAAGAUUUUAUCUAUAUUUAUUAAAUUUGUUUUAUUUCAAUAAAAUGGCUGUAUUCUGUGCUUAUGUAUGGCUGUUGUAAAUUCAGUUGAUUGAAAUUUUUAAAAGCUUUUUGACUAUGUUUUGAAUCUUGGAUUACUCAAGCUCAUGACAUUUAAAAUGAGUGUCGGUUUUGUAAAACAGCAGUUUGUUUAAAAGGGGGAUUAGAUAAAGAAUUUAUCACAAUAGGAAGCUAUGUACCAGAAAGUUUCUGUUUUAAGAGCCUUUUACAUGUUAUCAUGUACAUUGAAAUUGGGCAUCCGUCAAGAUCUGUGAUUGACCUGUGUUCUCAGUGAAGCAUGUCUCUUUAUUGUGAUUAUGUAGAGUUUUAACUGUGUUCAGUACAAUUAAAUUUGUAUUGUGUAUGAAAAUUAUGUGUAUUCUUAAAAAUUCCAAAAUAACAGAGAAAAAAAUAAUAAAAUGUGCCAAAUCUG
rnacentral:misc_RNA from 1 species